UAAAAAAUAGAAUCAUAAGGAUCACUCUUGUGAAGACGAUAAAAGAAAGACAAGAAAGCAUCUUCAGCAAUGCGAUUGGGGUCCUAUCAGAGUCUAUAAUCUACAGCUGCGCUCAAACUCUGAUUCUGCAUGGCGGCAUGUUCCCAUUCUUGGAGCUUGUGGAUCGGCUGCAUUUUCGAUAUUUCCAGGAGUGGCCUGGAAGACCGAGCUGUGGCCUAAUGUGGUGCUUUGGACCCGAUUUCUCACCAGGAUUGUGAACUGAAGCAUCGUGGAGUGUCAGGACAUUGAGAUGCUGGAAACAUCUGCACCAUUUUGAAAUCAGAUGAAGAGCAACAAUGUGAAAUGUCAAUGUCUACUUUCCUCCCCACUGAGUUACUCCAAUCGUAAGAAAGUCUGCAGAUGCAGGAAAUCCAAGGCAACACACAAAAAACGCUGGAGGAACUCAGAAGGCCAGGCAGCGUCUAUGAAAAAGAGUGAACAGUUGACAUUUCAGGCAGAGAGCCUUAAUUAGGACUGGUUCCAGUUAUGAAAAUGGACAAGGGAGAGUCAGUGGAUGCAGUGUACCUGGACUUCCAGAAAGCUUUUGAUAAAGUCCCACAUAGGAGAUUAGUAGGCAAAAUUAGGGUACAUGGUAUUGGGGGCAGAGCACUGACAUGGAUUGAAAAUUGGCUGGCUGAUAGUAAACAAAGAGUAGUGAUUAACGCGUCCCUUUCCGAAUGGCAGGAUGUGACCAGUGGGGUACCGCAAGGUUCGGUGCUGGGACCGCAGCUCUUUACAAUAUACAUUAAUGAUUUAGAUGAAGGGAUUAAAAGUAACAUUAGCAAAUUUGCUGAUGACACAAAGCUGGGUGGCAGUGUGAAAUGUCAGGAGGAUGAUAUGAGAAUGCAGGGUGACUUGGACAGGUUGUGUGAGUGGGCAAAUGUAUGGCAGAUGCAGUUUAAUGUGGAUAAGUGUGAGGUUAUCCACUUUGGUGGCAAGAACAGGAAGGCAGAUUACUAUCUAAAUGGAGUCAAGUUAGGAAAAGGGGAAGUACAAUGAGAUCUAGGUGUUCUUGUACAUCAGUCAAUGAAAGCAAGCAUGCAGGUACAGCAGGCAGUGAAGAAAGCUAAUGGCAUGCUGGCUUUUAUAACAAGAGGAAUUGAGUAUAGGAGUAAAGAGGUCCUUCUGCAGCUGUACAGGGCCCUGGUGAGACCCCACCUGGAGUAUUGUGUGCAGUUUUGGUCUCCAAAUUUGAGGAAGUACAUUCUUGCUAUUGAGGGAGUGCAGUGUAGGUUCACAAGGUUAAUUCCUGGAAUGGCAGGACUGUCAUAUGUUGAAAGAUUGGAGCGACUGGGCUUGUAUACACUGGAAUUUAGAAGGAUGAGAGGGGAUCUGAUUGAAACAUAAGAUUAUUAAGGGAUUGGACACACUGGAGGCAGGAAGCAUGUUCCCGCUGAUGGGCGAGUCCAGAACUAGAGGCCACAGUUUAAGAGGCCAUUUAGAACAGAGAUGCGGAAAAACUUUUUCACCCAGAGAGUGGUGGAUAUGUGGAAUGUUCUGCCCCAGAAGGCAGUGGAGGCCAGGUCUCUGGAUGCAUUCAAGAGAAAGUUAGAUAGAGCUCUUAUAAAUAGCGGGGUCAAGGGAUAUGGGGAGAGGGCAGGAACGGGGUACUGAUUGUGUAUGAUCAGCCAUGAUCACAAUGAAUGGUGGUGCUGGCUAGAAGGGCCGAAUGGCCUACUCCUGCACCUACUGUCUAUUGUCUAUUGAAGCAGAUAUUAUUUCAAUCUCUUGGCUUUUUUUUUUGCAGUGCGUUACAUGGUUCCCUCUACUUGUGUUAUUUUUGAACUAAGUAUAUAAAGCCUAAUCUACUGUGAACAUCAUAGUAGGUCUUCCGUGAAAUAGAAUUAUGAAACAGCAGUGGACCAUCAAAAGAAUUAUUUGUGGAUGGCUGAAGAAAUCCCAUUCAAUGCCCAUUUCCAGGAUGCGGUUUAAUAUUCUCCAUUUGACUGGAUGAGUGAAGCGCCAACAACUCUCAUUCAGGACAAAGCAAACCAAUUAUUUGGUACCACAAUGACAGCUCUAAACAUGUGUUACCCUGACAGUAGCCAUCUACAAAACACACUGCAGCUCCUUGCUUAGUCAGGCAGCAUCUCCAAAACACAGACCUCUACUUCUUCUGUCAGUAGGUUUAUGCCGCAUAUGUUUGAGAGCUACUGUUUGCAAAUUCUCUUCUGGGUCACACAACAUCCUGACCUGUGAAUAUAUCGCUGUCUCUCAUUGUCUCUGGGUCUAAUUCUUACAAUCCCCACUCUAGCAGCAUUGCAUGAGUAUCUUCCUCAGAAUCAAAAUAGAGUUCAGGAACCUGGCUUUCUCAAGGGUGGUUAGGGAUACUGGGCCUUGUAAACAACACACAAAUCUCAGAAAUUGAAGCCUCCCAAUGGCUUGUUUAUUAUGAUAAUACACAGGAUAUUAGAUAAUCUAAGACUGAUACAUUCUAUUCAUUCCAUGUAUCCAAAGUCAACUAACAUACAAAUCUUGUCUACAUAACUUUAGAAAUUGCAUUGCUAUUUUAAGUUCAGUCAAUAGUAAAAAAGAUUAAAUUGAAUUAAAUGCUUUUUGGACUAAUGUCUAAUUAAUUGCUUGCUGGACUUAUGUAUAAUGUAUACGAAGAACAGUGCUGCAUAUAUACUACGCCAUGCUCAAUAAAAUA